AUUGAACGCUGGCGGCAGGCCUAACACAUGCAAGUCGAACGAGUGGCGGACGGGUGAGUAAUGUCUGGGAAACUGCCCGAUGGAGGGGGAUAACUACUGGAAACGGUAGCUAAUACCGCAUACCAUCGGAUGUGCCCAGAUGGGAUUAGCUAGUAGGUGGGGUAAAGGCUCACCUAGGCGAAGAUCCCUAGCUGGUCUGAGAGGAUGACCAGCCACACUGGAACUGAGACACGGUCCAGACUCCUACGGGAGGCAGCAGUGGGGAAUAUUUGACAAUGGGCGCAAGCCUGAUGCAGCCAUGCCGCGUGUAUGAAGAAGGCCUUCGGGUUGUAAAGUACUUUCAGCGGGGAGGCGUUACUCGCAGAAGAAGCACCGGCUAACUACGUGCCAGCAGCCGCGGUAAUAC
rnacentral:rRNA from 1 species